GUAGGUGAACCUGCGGAAGGAUCAUUAUUGAAUAUUCUUGAUGGGUUGUAGCUGGCUCUUCGGGGCAUGUGCACACUUGUCUUGACUUUAUUCAUCCACCUGUGCACCUUUUGUAGUCUUGUGGGUUGAGAGCAGUCGACUAUCGGAUGGCUAUGGCCUUUCCGGACGUGGGGAAUGCUGAGUGCGAAAGCAUACAGCUCUUCUCAAAUGACUUGCAAAACCUCUCCCUCAAGUACUAUGUAUUCAUAUACCACAUAGUAUGUUGUCGAAUGUGAUCAAUGGGCCUAUGUGCCUAUAAAAAUCAUAUACAACUUUCAGCAACGGAUCUCUUGGCUCUC
rnacentral:misc_RNA from 1 species